rnacentral:rRNA from 1 species
CCUACGGGGGGCUGCAGUGGGGAAUAUUGGACAAUGGGGGCAACCCUGAUCCAGCCAUGCCGCGUGUGUGAAGAAGGCCCUCGGGUUGUAAAGCACUUUCAGUGAGGAAGAACGCCUGGUGGUUAAUACCCAUCAGGAAAGACAUCACUCACAGAAGAAGCACCGGCUAACUCCGUGCCAGCAGCCGCGGUAAUACGGAGGGUGCGAGCGUUAAUCGGAAUUACUGGGCGUAAAGCGCGCGUAGGUGGCUUGAUAAGCCGGUUGUGAAAGCCCCGGGCUCAACCUGGGAACGGCAUCCGGAACUGUCAAGCUAGAGUGCAGGAGAGGAAGGUAGACUUCACGGUGUAGCGGUGAAAUGCGUAGAGAUCGGGAGGAAUACCAGUGGCGAAGGCGGCCUUCUGGACUGACACUGACACUGAGGUGCGAAAGCGUGGGUAGCAAACAGGAUUAGAUACCCCUGUAGUC